rnacentral:rRNA from 1 species
ACGGAGGGUGCAAGCGUUGUUCGGAAUUAUUGGGCGUAAAGCGCGUGUAGGCGGUCUGUUAAGUCUGAUGUGAAAGCCCCGGGCUCAACCCGGGAAGUGCAUUGGAUACUGGCAGACUUGAGUACGGGAGAGGGAAGGGGAAUUCCGAGUGUAGAGGUGAAAGCCGUAGAGAUUCGGAGGAAAACCAGUGGCGAAGGCGGCUUCCUGGACCAUUACUGACGCUGAGACGCGAAAGCGUGGGGAGCAAACAG